UUGGUUAUACGGAAAAGUUGUUGAAAAAAGCAGAUGGCGCCAAUCCUCUGCUGUCUUUCCAUAUGGUUAUCAUGUAUUUGCUCAACUUUUUGCAUCAUCACUCGCUCGGCUUAGACGAGGUAAAAUGCUUACAUAACCUCUUUCUAUUGUGCUACUUGACAGCCACAUUUGUUGAGAGUUGUAGCCUAUAAUUGAAUCUAAAUAUUCAUCGACUUCUAUUGCAAAUGUCAUGAGUCCAGUAUGGUCCUUAUGAAGUAACCUAUAUGAGAGAGACAAGAGUAUGGUGAGAUUUCUAGCAGUAAAGGUGAUUUUUUGUGAGAUCUUGUUUCAAAAUAAUUCAUGUAGGAUGUUUAAAUGCUGGAUAAUGCAUAAAAACGAAUUAGGGACAGAAAUGUCCAUUAUUAGGUGGCCUAUUUCACAUGGUUAGUAGUCCGCCAAUCUUAUUUAACACAUGUUAAUCUACCAAAAGAAGUUUUAAGUUGUGCAAUAUGUGUUACAUUUGUAAAGAAGAUAUGGAAAGAAAUCGCCACCUAUAUCACUUUUUGGUGGCUCACAACUUUGAAACAUGUUUUUGAACUUAUUUAAUCUAAAAAUGAACAAUGUCAUACUCAACAAUGAGUUAUUGUUAAUUUGCAUCAUAAAGGUCAAGAGGAUUUGCUGCACAAUACAAAAAAGAGAGAAUUUUUUUAUCUUUUGAAGACAAAGCAAAACACAUCAAUAAAAUCAAAUUGAAAUUUGUGUGUUGUCUUUUUGGUGUCCUAAACUUCACCUGUGUGAUUACACCGAGUAUUUUAUUGAUGUUGUUGUUGUUGUCUAUUUAGUGUAGGUAGAAUGUAUAACAUAGUGGUGUAAAUAUGAUAAAAUUUGUUAUUACAUUUUGGUAAAAUCUAUUGACGUCUAACCCAAACUAUUGAUGGCUAACCCAAUGGGCUAGAAAAAAUAAAUAGUAAACAGGUCGUGCAUGGUGAGACGACUAACAAAUAAAAAAAGGGUAUGAUACAACAGAUUAGGAAGGAAAUUAAAGUUGUUUUUGAAAGAUUCAUGGAAUCGAUUCAUGACAAACAGAUAAGGUAAAUGGUCAAGUUAUCGUUUGGGUUGGAGUCCCAUGUUUUGUCUACUUUAAUCAAUCAACAAAUUUACUGCAUUUUCAAUUUAUUUGGCCCAAAGCAACAAGUUAUGUGAUUCUUGUGAUUUUUUUUUUUUUUUUGCUCUUGCCAUUAAAGUGCCUUUGUCGUGCAAAUUAUUUAUGGUUGUAUAAAUUGGAAAAUCAGGCGUAGACAAUGCCUUAAGGUUAUAAUGCUCAGUUUCUUUUGGGCAGAUAUAGUAUUUGCUCACAAGCUUGAAUAGAAUAUAUUUAUUUAUAUUCAACCUCACUACCGCAAGUGUAAUAUGCUUCACAUUUCCAAUAUAUCAAGUAUUUUGGUUCAGCUAAGACAACUAACAUGAGUGCAGAACAAAUAUGGAUAUUUGAUAGUGCUAAUUGUCCCAGGUACGCUAUUCCUCUUUGUCUCUAAUAUUAUGGAAUGACAUUACAUGAGUUUAUCAUUGAUUCUACUUAUUUACGAGACUUGUCUUACAAAAUUUUCAAUGAAAGGUGUACUUCAUGAAGAGUCUCUUAUUACUUAUCCAAAAAAGAUAUAGGUCAUUUAGAGUUGGUUCUGAAAAUAUUAUUGUUAUUCUAAAGAAGUUAAAUUUGUUUAGAGUAUUAAUUUUGACUAUUUCUGUUUCCUGGAGUUAUUGUCUAAAAAUGACCAGAGAUAUCUUAGAUUAUUUUUUGUAGAGUAGAGCUUAACAUUACUUUAGAUAUAGUGAGAAUAAUUUUAAAAUAUCCUAUGUUGCUUGGACUCUUCAAAAAUGUUAAUGGGUGCGCGCUGAAUUCUCUAAAAAUAGUGUAUUUUUGGAGAAUCCAACAUGGGUGCAUCAUCAAAAUUGAAGAGUCCGCACACUUCACCUCUAUUACUUUUCUCUUUUUUUUACUUUCAAUUUUCAAGUAAUACUUUUUAGGUGCGCUUUAGAAAACAGAUUUAAUAGUAAAAUAGUAAAAUUUUGCAUGAUAAAUUGGCUAGAUUUCGUUUUUCUCUGAAAUUAGUUGGUUUGAGUUUUUCUUUUACUUGUUUCAACCUUUUCCUUUGUGCUAUGUGUAAUUGCAGGCAUAACUCAUAAGCUAAGUUGCACAAAAAUCGCAAUCUUGAAUAUUCAUCUGUAUUUUAUAUUUUUCAAGCUAGCAAAAUUUACUGUUAAGAGGUAUAAUGUCGCCAAAUUCGAAGGCAUUAGAUUUUGAAUUUUGUAUUAUUUGUUAUACGAUUAAAUGCAGUAAAAUAUUUGCUCUUUGCUCUCUAGACUUUCUUCUGCAAUCAUUUGCGUGAGAGUUUAGCUGGCUCCAUAUGCUACAUUUUCCUCACUUUGUCGUGAAACAUUUGGUAUUUUGGUACUAGGUAACAGGUAAAACUUCAUCUGUAUGCACAAUUUUAAAUGCAAUGUCCAUUGCAAGCAGAUCGAUUAUCUAGCAUGAGUGGAGUAAUCUGACUCUCCCUAUGGAUGAAAACAUUAAUAAUAUACAUGUGUGCUGUCUUAAAAUUGAAAAUGAGUGUUGGGAUGCACAUGUUUAUUUUACUGCUAUAAUUUCACCUUACCUGGUUAUGUAAAGUUGAAGGUGCAACUAAUUUGUAUUUUCAUUGGAGUUGAUGUUGUGAAGUUUGUUAAUGUCGUAUUAAUAUUUUAUAGUAUUCACUUUGAUUUUUGAUCGAAAAGGCCUAACACAUGAUAAUUUUCAUACACUUUGACAAUGAGGAAGAAAAUAAGUCUUUUAUGAUGAGCUUGAGCAAGGGAAGAUGGAAACGGUUGAUCACAUCCUCUUCACUGUUUGCUCCAAUAUUUCCCGGCGAGAUCUACUGUUCCAAAAUUUAAUCAUGCUAGAGUAUAAUCACAUCCUCUUCAUUGUUUGCUCUAACAUUUCUUGAAUUUUAAUUGAGAGGGAUUUGAACUCGCUUUUGAAGUAGUGUUAGUUACUUGAUGAUGUAUUCAUUCUUCAUUAUGUAGCAUAGAAUAAAGAUCAAUACUUAAAGAACAGUGACAUAGUGUGCUUUACAAGUAGAUUAUAUGUUAUGCACUCUCUAUAUCUAUGGAAUAAUAUUGAUUGCCUUCUUAUUAUAUUUCUUAUUUGAUGUGGAUUUUUUUUUUGGGCAAGUUAAGAAAUAUGAUCCGUUACUAAAUGAUAGACAUUGUGAUUUUGAUAUUGUGUUUAUUUAAAAGUAUUUAUUGUUACAUUGAAUCUUCAACAUAUUUCAUAGGUAGAGCGUUGGGCCCGUGCUUAGCACGGGCAAGAAUCAUCUAGUUUAU
rnacentral:lncRNA from 1 species